GUUUGUUGCUUUAGGCCAACUCGGUUGUAUACAUUUCAGUUUUCGUAAAUAAUUUCUGGAGUAUUGAUUGUCACUAGUUGUUCUUGAAAAUGUUGAUACAAUUUUCCUGCAAGCCUAUCAGCAGUUUUUGUCUGUAUAGCUUAUUCUAUUUCAUUUCCUAAGAUUCAAUCAUUUAUAAUCCAUGUUUGGUGUUCUGUUAGUUUCUAUUUAAUAUUACAAAUUUGUGUGUGUGUAUAUAUAUAUAUGUAUAUUGCUUGUGUUACCAUAUAUUAUAGUUGUAUGCAUACAUGCCUAUAGCUAGCUAGCUACAUAUCUAUAUAUAGAAGGUAGGAUGUGAUCUGACUCUUGAAAGAAACCAGAGAAUCCAGGAGAUGGAGGUGGAGAUGGAGGUGGAGGUGAGGAGGGGCAGGAUCCCAGGCAUAUGGGACCACCAUUGAACAUGGCCAGAGUGGCCAGAUGAAGGAACAACCAGAAGGCCAAGGUGGAGGUGGAGGUGGAGGUGAGGAGGGCCAGGAUCCCAGGCAUAUGGGACCACCAUUGAACAUGGCCAGAGUGGCCAGAUGAAGGAACAACCAGAAGGCCAGCAUCACUGGAUUGUAGAGUAUGUGAAUAUUUAUUACAAUUGUAUCUUCAUACAUCUGUAUCUAUCAGUCCAAAUAUUUAGGUAUGUAUGUAGGUAUUGAAGGUGGGAAAUGAUCUGAAUCUUGAAGGAAGUCAGAGAAUGCUGGAGGUGGAAGUGGAGGUGGAGGUGAGGAGGGCCAGGAUCCCAGGCAUAUGGGACCAUCAUUGAACAUGGUCAGAGUGGCCAGAUGAAGGAACAACCAGAAGCCCAAGGUGGAGGUGGAGGUGGAGGUGAGGAGGGCCAGGAUCCCAGGUAUAUGGGACCACCAUUGAACAUGGCCAGAGUGGCCAGAUGAAGGAACAACCAGAAGGCCAAGGUGGAGGUGGAGGUGGAGGUGAGGAGGGCCAGGAUCCCAGGCAUAUGGGACCACCAUUGAACAUGGCCAGAGUGGCCAGAUGAAGGAACAACCAGAAGGCCAAGGUGGAGGUGGAGGUGGAGGUGAGGAGGGCCAGGAUCCCAGGCAUAUGGGACCACCAUUGAACAUGGCCAGAGUGGCCAGAUGAAGGAACAACCAGAAGGCCAAGGUGGAGGUGGAGGUGGAGGUGAGGAGGGCCAGGAUCCCAGGCAUAUGGGACCACCAUUGAACAUGGCCAGAGUGGCCAUAUGAAGGAACAACCAGAAGGCCAAGGUGGAGGUGGAGGUGGAGGUGAGGAGGGCCAGGAUCCCAGGCAUAUGGGACCACCAUGAACAU
rnacentral:lncRNA from 1 species